CCUACGGGAGGCUGCAGUGGGGAAUAUUGGGCAAUGGGCGCAAGCCUGACCCAGCAACGCCGCGUGAAGGACGAAGGCUUUCGGGUUGUAAACUUCUUUUCUCAGGGACGAAACAAGUGACGGUACCUGAGGAAUAAGCCACGGCUAACUACGUGCCAGCAGCCGCGGUAAUACGUAGGGGGCAAGCGUUAUCCGGAUUUACUGGGUGUAAAGGGCGUGUAGGCGGGACUGCAAGUCAGAUGUGAAAACCAUGGGCUCAACCUAUGGCCUGCAUUUGAAACUGUAGUUCUUGAGUACUGGAGAGGCAGACGGAAUUCUUAGUGUAGCGGUGAAAUGCGUAGAGAUUAGGAGGAACACCAGUGGCGAAGGCGGUCUGCUGGACAGCAACUGACGCUGAGGCGCGAAAGCGUGGGGAGCAAACAGGAUUAGAUACCCUUGUAGUC
rnacentral:rRNA from 1 species